rnacentral:rRNA from 1 species
GAUGAACGCUAGCUACAGGCUUAACACAUGCAAGUCGAGGGGAAACGACAUCGAAAGCUUGCUUUUGAUGGGCGUCGACCGGCGCACGGGUGAGUAACGCGUAUCCAACCUGCCCAUCACUUGGGAAUAACCUUGCGAAAGUAAGACUAAUACCCAAUGAUAUCCCACGAAGGCAUCGGAAUGGGAUUAAAGAUUUAUCGGUGAUGGAUGGGGAUGCGUCUGAUUAGCUUGUUGGCGGGGUAACGGCCCACCAAGGCAACGAUCAGUAGGGGUUCUGAGAGGAAGGUCCCCCACAUUGGAACUGAGACAUGGUCCAAACUCCUACGGGAGGCAGCAGUGAGGAAUAUUGAUCAAUGGGCGAGAGCCUGAACCAGCCAAGUAGCGUGCAGGAAGACGGCCCUAUGGGUUGUAAACUGCUUUUAUAAGGGAAUAAAGUGGGUCACGUGUGACUUUUUGCAUGUACCUUAUGAAUAAGGACCGGCUAAUUCCGUG